rnacentral:rRNA from 1 species
AUUGAACGCUGGCGGCAGGCCUAACACAUGCAAGUCGAACGAGUGGCGGACGGGUGAGUAAUGUCUGGGAAACUGCCUGAUGGAGGGGGAUAACUACUGGAAACGGUAGCUAAUACCGAAUACCAUUGGAUGUGCCCAGAUGGGAUUAGCCAGUAGGUGGGGUAAAGGCUCCCCUAGGCGACGAUCCCUAGCUGGUCUGGGAGGAUGACGAGCCACACUGGAUCUGAGACACGGUCCAGGUUCCUACGGGAGGCAGCAGUAAGGAAGAUUGCACAAUGGGCGCAAGCCUGAUGCGGCCAUGCCGCGUGUAUGAAGAAGGCCUUCGGGUUGUAAAGUACUUUCAGCGGGGAGGCGUUACCCGCAGAAGAAGCACCGGCUAACUCCGUGCCAGCAGCCGCGGUAAUUC